rnacentral:rRNA from 1 species
GACGAACGCUGGCGGCGUGCUUAACACAUGCAAGUCGAACGGAAAGGCCCUGCUUUUUUGGUGUUCUCGAGUGGCGAACGUGUGAGUAACACGUGAGUCACCUGCCCUUGACUUUGGUAUAACUUCAGGAAACUGGGGCUAAUACCGGAUAUGAGCUCCUGCUGCAUGGUCGGGGUUGGAAAGUUUCUGCGGUUGGGGAUGGACUCGCGGCUUAUCAGCUUGUUGGUGGGGUAGUGGUUUACCAAGGCUUUGACGGGUAGCCGGCCUGAGAGGGUGACCGGCCACAUUGGGACUGAGAGACGGCCCAGACUCCUACGGGAGGCAGCAGUGGGGAAUAUUGCACAAUGGGCGGAAGCCUGAUGCAGCAACGCCGCGUGCGGGAUGACGGCCUUCGGGGUGUAAACCGCUUUCGCCUGUGACGAAGCGGGAGUGACGGUAAUGGGUAAAGAAGCACCGGCUAACUACGUG